GACGAACGCUGGCGGCGUGCCUAAUACAUGCAAGUAGAACGCACAGUUUAUACCGUAGCUUGCUACACCAUAGACUGUGAGUUGCGAACGGGUGAGUAACGCGUAGGUAACCUGCCUGGUAGCGGGGGAUAACUAUUGGAAACGAUAGCUAAUACCGCAUAAUAUUAAUUAUUGCAUGAUAAUUAAUUGAAAGGUGCAAUUGCACCACUACCAGAUGGACCUACGUUGUAUUAGCUAGUAGGUGAGGUAACGGCUCACCUAGGCGACGAUACAUAGCCGACCCGAGAGGGUGAUCGGCCACACUGGGACUGAGACACGGCCCAGACUCCUACGGGAGGCAGCAGUAGGGAAUCUUCGGCAAUGGACGAAAGUCUGACCGAGCAACGCCGCGUGAGUGAAGAAGGUUUUCGGAUCGUAAAGCUCUGUUGUAAGAGAAGAACGGGUGUGAGAGUGGAAAGUUCACACUGUGACGGUAUCUUACCAGAAAGGGACGGCUAACUACGUG
rnacentral:rRNA from 1 species